GACGAACGCUGGCGGCGUGCUUAACACAUGCCAGUCGAACGGUGAAGCGCUUUCCUUUUUGGUUGGUGUGGAUGAGUGGCGAACGGGUGAGUAACACGUGAGUAACCUGCCCCCUUCUUCUGGAUAACCGCAUGAAAGUGUGGCUAAUACGGGAUAUUCUGCGCCUGCUGCAUGGUGGGUGUGGGAAAGAUUGUGCCUUUGGGUGUUUUCGGUGGGGGAUGGGCUCGCGGCCUAUCAGCUUGUUGGUGGGGUGAUGGCCUACCGAGGCGGUGACGGGUAGCCGGCCUGAGAGGGUGGACGGUCACACUGGGACUGAGACACGGCCCAGACUCCUACGGGAGGCAGCAGUGGGGAAUAUUGCACAGUGGGCGCGAGCCUGAUGCAGCGACGCCGCGUGAGGGAUGGAGGCCUUCGGGUUGUGAACCUCUUUCGCCAGUGAAGCAGGCCUGCUCCUUGUGGGUGGGUUGACGGUAGCUGGAUAAGAAGCGCCGGCUAACUACGUG
rnacentral:rRNA from 1 species